UACGUAGGGUGCGAGCGUUAAUCGGAAUUAGUGGGCGUAAAGCGUGCGCAGGCGGCUUUGCAAGACAGAUGUGAAAUCCCCGGGCUCAACCUGGGAACUGCAUUUGUGACUGCAAGGCUAGAGUACGGCAGAGGGGGAUGGAAUUCCGCGUGUAGCAGUGAAAUGCGUAGAUAUGCGGAGGAACACCAAUGGCGAAGGCAAUCCCCUGGGCCUGUACUGACGCUCAUGCACGAAAGCGUGGGGAGCAAACAGG
rnacentral:rRNA from 1 species